CUGUCUGAGAUUGAACGCUGGCGGCAUGCCUUACACAUGCAAGUCGAACGGCAGCACGGGCUUCGGCCUGGUGGCGAGUGGUGAACGGGUGAGUAAUACAUCGGAACAUGUCCUGUAGUGGGGGAUAGCCCGGCGAAAGCCGGAUUAAUACCGCAUACGAUCUGAGGAUGAAAGCGGGGGACCUUCGGGCCUCGCGCUAUAGGGUUGGCCGAUGGCUGAUUAGCUAGUUGGUGGGGUAAAGGCCUACCAAGGCGACGAUCAGUAGCUGGUCUGAGAGGACGACCAGCCACACUGGGACUGAGACACGGCCCAGACUCCUACGGGAGGCAGCAGUGGGGAAUUUUGGACAAUGGGCGCAAGCCUGAUCCAGCAAUGCCGCGUGUGUGAAGAAGGCCUUCGGGUUGUAAAGCACUUUUGUCCGGAAAGAAAUCAUUCUGGCUAAUACCCGGAGUGGAUGACG
rnacentral:rRNA from 1 species